rnacentral:misc_RNA from 1 species
GAGAUCUGGCCUCCGACAUGACAGCCUCUAAUUUAGCUUUGAAAAGGUCUAGAGCAGGGCCUUCCAUCUCCCCAAUAUGUAGAAGUUCAGAUGCCUGUAGAUUUGACUUCCCAAUCUUGUGCAAGCAGUAUCGAAUACUAGGUUCUAGCUCCUCUACACGUUCACGACACAAAACUUGAUUCUCUAGAUCUCCUACUUUCCCAAGUUCCUCAUAA